GAAUUAGGCAGUCGGCUCCCGUAAGGUCUGAAAUACCAGAUGACAGAAAAAAGGAUGCUCAUCUGAAAUGGAUUUCACCCUCCUCAGAGACAAGGGUUUGACACUAUUGGAAACUGUUAUCUAUCUGGCUCAAUGGAAAAGUCGGGUUCCUCGGGCUUUUGUAACUUUGGCAAGUCGUCUUUCAUUCUCUGAGCGCCUCUCCUUGUGUUUGCAGCAAACCUUGAAGCCAGCAAGGUUAUAUCCAGAUACGUUUUAGUCUGAGAAGGAUUUGAAACAACAGAGAAUUGUUCCUCUCCUUGGCUAGUUUCGUCAGUCACUUUUUCUGAUAAAGUAAAUGAUUCUUUCAUUAAGAGAUCUUUU
rnacentral:misc_RNA from 1 species